rnacentral:rRNA from 1 species
GAAUAUUGCACAAUGGGCGAAAGCCUGAUGCAACGACGCCGCGUGCAGGAUGAAUGCCUUCGGGUUGUAAACCCCUUUCAGGAAGGACGUACAAAAGUGACGGUACCUCCAGAAGAAGCCCCGGCCAACUACGUGCCAGCAGCCGCGGUAAUACGUAGGGGGCGAGCGUUGUCCGGAUUUAUUGGGCGUAAAGAGCUCGUAGGCGGCUCAGCAAGUCGGCCGUGAAAGCCUGAGGCUCAACCUCAGGAUGCCGGUCGAAACUGCUGUGGCUAGGGUUCGGUAGAGGAGAGUGGAAUUCCCGGUGUAGCGGUGAAAUGCGCAGAUAUCGGGAGGAACACCAGUAGCGAAGGCGGCUCUCUGGGCCGAUACCGACGCUGAGGAGCGAAAGCUAGGGGAGCGAACAGGAUUAGAUACCCUGGUAGUCCUAGCUGUAAACGUUGGGCACUAGGUGUGGCGGACUCAUUCACGUGUGCAGUGCCGAAGCUAACGCAUUAAGUGCCCCGCCUGGGGAGUACGGUCGCAAGGCUAGAACUCAAAGGAAUUGAC